rnacentral:rRNA from 1 species
UACGUAGGGUGCGAGCGUUGUCCGGAAUUACUGGGCGUAAAGAGCUCGUAGGUGGUUUGUCGCGUUGUUCGUGAAAACCGGGGGCUUAACCCUCGGCGUGCGGGCGAUACGGGCAGACUUGAGUACUGCAGGGGAGACUGGAAUUCCUGGUGUAGCGGUGGAAUGCGCAGAUAUCAGGAGGAAUACCGGUGGCGAAGGCGGCAUCCUGGACCGACAUUGACGCUGAACGGCGAAAGCUAGGGGAGCAAACGGG